GACGAACGCGGCGGUGUGCUUAACACAUGCAAGUCGAACGGUAAGGCCCUUUCGGGGGUACACGAGUGGCGAACGGGUGAGUAACACGUGAGUAACCUGCCCUCAUCUCUGGGAUAACAGUCGGAAACGGUUGCUAAUACUGGAUAUGAGCUUGCAAGGCAUCUUGUGGGUUGGAAAGAUAUUUUUUGGUUGGGGAUGGACUCGCGGCCUAUCAGCUUGUUGGUGAGGUAGUGGCUCACCAAGGCUUCGACGGGUAGCCGGCCUGAGAGGGCGACCGGCCACAUUGGGACUGAGAUACGGCCCAAACUCCUACGGGAGGCAGCAGUGGGGAAUAUUGCACAAUGGACGGAAGUCUGAUGCAGCAACGCCGCGUGCGGGAUGACGGCCUUCGGGUUGUAAACCGCUUUCAAUUGUGACGAAGCUUUUUGUGACGU
rnacentral:rRNA from 2 species